GCCGGGGAUGGGAGAGCAGCCCAGCCGAGAUCUCCAUGGCAGCCUUGCAAGGAGACCGUGAGUGCCGAAACUGUAAGGCAUGCCCAGGCUCUUGAUCGACAAAAACCUGAAAAUCUAGCUCAAUGCCGCCAGAGAGCACAGAGCUCCUUGUAUUCCAGUUCCUCACCGAAGAGACUCUGUCUAAGCAUCUCCCGGUUACAGCUUCUAGUGGAAACUCAUGUACCUUAUCUUCCUUUUACAGACAGCACAGGUCAGAAAUUGCAACGAGGAAGAUAUGCUUAUAGCACGGAGAAGCCAAUUGACCAUCUGGCAGUGGAGGAGGACACAGCAGACACAGCUCCAAUUCCACGGACAAGAACAGCUGCCUUUGCUCCAGCCCACGGGUGAGCUCUUUUGAGCUCUGACAUGCAGGAGAUGACAGAAAUAUGUGGGCUUACAAAUGCCAAUGCCCAAGGCCACCACAGGGAUGCAGAAUUCACCUGCCAGAGCAUUUGACACUUGCGUCAGGAAAAAGCAACAGCUGAGAAAAGCCCUGUGAGAAAUACUUUGUCACGUCUGUGGGAACGGCUGUCCAGAUUGUAAAUCAGUAGGAUGUCUGUUUUGUCCAGCUAAUGCUCCCAAGGGUGGAAGAAAGGGGAUUUACUCAGCUCAUUUAGUCCUUGUGUGGAAAGGAUAGCAUACCAAUGAUGUGGGAGUAAUUUUUCACCCUGAGAUAAAAAGGCCUUUGGUGCCUUGUCCUUAGAAGGUUGGCUAAGGAUGGGAGACCAGUUGUUUCUAGGUGUGUACUUCUGUGUGUGGCCCCCUCCUCACUUUAGAUAGUAAAGAUCACAACCUCUGAGCAUAUCCAAAGAGAUCAGCUCUUUCAUUCAGACCGAUCAUGACAUCAGUAUUCAAAUGUCCUUCCCUUAGAUCUGACUCCUUGAGGCUCUUAGAGAACUUUUCAUUUCAUUCCUGAUGAUGUUCAGGUUCCUUUAGAUGCUACCAGGGAGUAAAUUACAGAUACUGCUGAUAAACAAAACCUUUUGGGUUUAAAAACUAAAGGAAAACGGGAGGGCAGAGCCAUCUGCCAAGGAAGUAGUUAUUCACAGGUGAAUAUGUGUAGCAAAUGUGUUAUUGAGAGGAAAGUUCUCUGCUCAGGAAGUUAGUACAGCUAACUGGAGACCUGCCUCAGAACAACCCAAAUGGACCUGAAAUUCUGGAUGCACCUAAAGACUCAUGUAGCACCAUUUAAGUAGUAGUUUAACAUUCAAAAAACAGAUUUCAGACUCCCAAAAGGGAAUCUAGGAAAAACUCAGAUAUUUUACUAAUGCUGUUUUAAGAAUAUCCACAGGGGAAUCAAAGAGCCUACAGUAAUAUUGAUUGAAAUACCCAUUUUUUUCACCGAUUCGCUUCUCCAAUACCUACUUAUAGUCUCACGUCCCAGGCUGGAAUAUUCUGUGUCCUUGGCAAUUGUCAUUGUCAUCUAGGCACAAAGAAGAAAUCUGCUUUUUCUUUAGAAGGGGGGUUCCACACUAAACUCACUAUAAGACUUCUGGUAAGAAAUGGGAGGAGUAACUUGGAGUGGGAAGUUUGAUUAGUCGAUGCAAACUAAUGUAUUAGGCCAACAGUUCUCAGAUUUGUCCAGGAGAUACCAUAAAACCUCCAGAUGUUAUGAUACUUUUCAGAGCACCAUGAGAAAACAGACUAAUCAAUUCUGUUAUGUGAACUGAGAACGUACUUUACGUUUAUAAUGUGAAAUCACAAUCCUGAGCAUACCUGUCCAUGAAAUAAAAAGUCACCAAACCCACUUG
ensembl:lincRNA